UACGUAGGGUGCGAGCGUUAAUCGGAAUUACUGGGCGUAAAGCGUGCGCAGGCGGUUCGUUAAGUCAGAUGUGAAAGCCCCGGGCUCAACCUGGGAACUGCAUUUGAAACUGGCGGGCUUGAGUGUGGCAGAGGGGGGUGGAAUUCCGCGUGUAGCAGCGAAAUGCGUAGAGAUGCGGAGGAACACCGAUGGCGAAGGCAGCCCCCUGGGCCAAUACUGACGCUCAGGCACGAAAGCGUGGGGAGCAAACAGG
rnacentral:rRNA from 1 species